AUUGAACGCUGGCGGAAUGCUUUACACAUGCAAGUCGAACGGCAGCACGGACUUCGGUCUGGUGGCGAGUGGCGAACGGGUGAGUAAUGUAUCGGAACGUGCCCAGUCGUGGGGGAUAACGUAGUGAAAAUUACGCUAAUACCGCAUACGAUCUAUGGAUGAAAGCGGGGGAUCGCAAGACCUCGCGCGAUUGGAGCGGCCGAUAUCAGAUUAGGUAGUUGGUGGGGUAAAGGCCCACCAAGCCAACGAUCUGUAGCUGGUCUGAGAGGACGACCAGCCACACCGGAACUGAGACACGGUCCAGACUCCUACGGGAGGCAGCAGUGGGGAAUUUUGGACAAUGGGCGAAAGCCUGAUCCAGCCAUUCCGCGUGCAGGAUGAAGGCCCUCGGGUUGUAAACUGCUUUUGUACAGAACGAAAAGGUUUCUACUAAUACUAGGAGCUCAUGACGGUACAGUAAGAAUAAGCACCGGCUAACUACGUGCCAGCCGCCGCGGUAA
rnacentral:rRNA from 1 species